GACGAACGCUGGCGGCGUGCCUAAUACAUGCAAGUCGAACGCUUUUUCUUUCACCGGAGCUUGCUCCAUCGAAAGAAAAAGAGUGGCGAACGGGUGAGUAACACGUGGGUAACCUGCCCAUCAGAAGGGGAUAACACUUGGAAACAGGUGCUAAUACCGUAUAACACUAUUUUCCGCAUGGAAGAAAGUUGAAAGGCGCUUUUGCGUCACUGAUGGAUGGACCCGCGGUGCAUUAGCUAGUUGGUGAGGUAACGGCUCACCAAGGCAACGAUGCAUAGCCGACCUGAGAGGGUGAUCGGCCACACUGGGACUGAGACACGGCCCAGACUCCUACGGGAGGCAGCAGUAGGGAAUCUUCGGCAAUGGACGAAAGUCUGACCGAGCAACGCCGCGUGAGUGAAGAAGGUUUUCGGAUCGUAAAAACUCUGUUGUUAGAGAAGAACAAGGAUG
rnacentral:rRNA from 1 species